rnacentral:lncRNA from 1 species
GUACAAAGGAAAACGAAUAAUACGGAUGUAUUUUGUUAAAAAAAAUACUAGGGAUAAUUGCCUAUAUACUUCUCAUACGUUUGAAAAUAUCUGAUUUAUUCUUCUUUUUUUUUCUUUCUAAAAUACCCUUCAUAUGUUCCACUGUUAUUGCUAAAUACCCCCUCAGUUAUCUUAUAUUAAGUUAACUUGGUUUAAACGUGAAUUAAAUAUCUAUCAUAGUUAAAAAAAAAUUAAAAUACCAAUUUUGCCCUUAACUUAAGAGCAAAUAAGAAAUGUUGGUGACGGUAGAAGAGUAUAUUUGAAAAGAUCAAAAGUCAAAAUACUUUUUGUGCCCCUGACUUUAAGGGCAAAUAAGAAAGUUGGUAAUAGUGGAAGGUAAUAUUUGAAAGAGCAAAAUAGUAAUUUUACAGAGAUAACAAAGUUUAGUAACAGAUUUUAACUCUAGGGAUAUAUUAGAAAUAGGUUAGAACGUAGAAAGGAUAUUUUUAAUAUUAACUUUCUAAGAGAGAGGUAAAUCGGAAAGUCGAAAAUUUUUCAGGAAUAUAUAGGCAAUUGCCCCAAAAUACUAAUAAUACACCCCAAAAUAGGGGUACCUCUUACAACCCCACCCAUUACUGAAUGGGGCGUAAUUAGUCACAUCAUGUGACUGGUGAGCAAAUUUGAGUGGAUCGUAAGAUGUACAUCCUGUUUUGGAUGUAAGUCUAG